rnacentral:tRNA from 1 species
GUAGGGGUGGCCGAGUGGUUUAAGGCAGCAACUUUUAUUCCUUGAUUAACAACUUGCCCGCUUAAGGGACGAAUAUUAAGGGUUAUCGUAAUUUUUGACAAUAGAGCUAUCUGAAAAUUAAUUUUCAGAGGUAUCUGUUCGUAGGUUCGACUCCUACCCCCUACA